rnacentral:rRNA from 1 species
UGGGGAAUUUUGGACAAUGGGGGCAACCCUGAUCCAGCCAUUCCGCGUGAGUGAAGAAGGCCUUCGGGUUGUAAAGCUCUUUCAGCUGGAACGAAACGGUGCGCUCUAACAUAGCGCGCUACUGACGGUACCAGCAGAAAAGCACCGGCUAACUACGUGCCAGCAGCCGCGGUAAUACGUAGGGUGCGAGCGUUAAUCGGAAUUACUGGGCGUAAAGCGUGCGCAGGCGGAUUGUUAAGCAAGACGUGAAAUCCCCGGGCUUAACCUGGGAAUGGCGUUUUGAACUGGCAGUCGAGAGUGCGUCAGAGGGGGGUGGAAUUCCACGUGUAGCAGUGAAAUGCGUAGAGAUGUGGAGGAACACCGAUGGCGAAGGCAGCCCCCUGGGAUGACACUGACGCUCAUGUACGAAAGCGUGGGUAGCAAACA